rnacentral:rRNA from 1 species
GUGAAUCAUCGAAUCUUUGAACGCACCUUGCGCUCCUUGGUAUUCCGAGGAGCACGCCUGUUUGAGUGUCAUGAAAUUCUCAACCUACAAAGCUUUGUGUUUUGUUAGGCUUGGACUUGGAGGCUUGCUGGCUCUUGUCAGCUUCUCUUAAAUUCAUUAGCUUGAUUCCUUGUGGAUCGGCCUCGGUGUGAUAAUUGUCUACGCUGUGACCGUGAAACAUAUGGUGAGCUUCUAAUGGUCUUGUUGAAAGACAUCUUUUAUUGACGUCUGACCUCAAAUCAGGUGGGACUACCCGCUGAACUUAA